GACGUAGGGCGCGAGCGUUGUCCGGAUUUAUUGGGCGUAAAGAGCUCGUAGGCGGCUUGUCGCGUCGUCUGUGAAAUCCCGGGGCUCAACUCCGGACUUGCAGUGGGUACGGGCAGGCUAGAGUGUGGUAGGGGAGACUGGAAUUCCUGGUGUAGCGGUGGAAUGCGCAGAUAUCAGGAGGAACACCGAUGGCGAAGGCAGGUCUCUGGGCCACUACUGACGCUGAGAAGCGAAAGCAUGGGGAGCGAACAGG
rnacentral:rRNA from 1 species